rnacentral:rRNA from 1 species
GGCAGUGACCAUACCAUGUUGGAAACACCGGUCCUCGUCUGAUCAACGAAGCUAAGCAACGUUGAGCCCGGUUAGUACCUGCUUGGGAACUACAGGCUGGGAACACCAAGUGUUGCGGCCG